rnacentral:rRNA from 1 species
CCGACUGCUAUUUGGGUGAGAAUAAGCCAUGCGAGUUGAAUGGGAUACCUAAAGUUCCCAUAGCAAACUGCUCAGUAACACAUGAUCAACUUACCCUAUAGAGAAAAAUAACCUCGGGAAACUGAGGAUAAUGUUUCAUAAUUGAAUUGGCUUGGAAAAGUUUUUCAAUGAAAAGGAUAAAAAAAAUGGUUUUUAUCUGCUAUAGGAUAGGAUCGUGUUCGAUUAUGGUUGUUGGUGAGAUAAUGGCUCACCAAGCCGAUAAUCGAUAGGGGCCGUGAGAGCGGGAGCCCCGAGAUGGGUACUGAGACAACGACCCAGGCCUUACGAGGCGCAGCAGGCGCGGAACCUCCGCAAUACACGAAAGUGUGACGGGGUUACCCAAAGUGUUCAAUUUGAACUGUGGUAGGUGAGUAAUGUCCCCUACUAGAAAGGAGAGGGCAAGGCUGGUGCCAGCCGCCGCGGUAAAACCAGCUCUUCAAGUGGUCGGGAUAAUUAUUGGGCUUAAAGUGUCCGUAGCCGGUUUAGUAAGUUCCUGGUAAAAUCGGGUAGCUUAACUAUCUGCAUGCUAGGAAUACUGCUAUACUAGAGGGCGGGAGAGGUCUGAGGUACUACAGGGGUAGGGGUGAAAUCUUAUAAUCCUUGUAGGACCACCAGUGGCGAAGGCGUCAGACUGGAACGCGCCUGACGGUGAGGGACGAAAGCCAGGGGAGCGAACCGGAUUAGAUACCCGGGUAGUCCUGGCCGUAAACGAUGCAUACUAGGUGAUGGUACGGCCAUGAGCCGUAUCAGUGCCGUAGGGAAACCGUUAAGUGUGCCGCCUGGGAAGUACGGUCGCAAGGCUAAAACUUAA